rnacentral:lncRNA from 1 species
GGGGCCGUUUCUAAAGAAAUUAGAUGCCGGAGGAGAAGAAGGUUCUAAGUCCCAUGGAGCUGAAGUUCCAGCUGUUGAGAGCUCCCCAAAGAGGCUGCUAGGAAUGGAACUCCAGUCCUCUGGAAGAACAAGUGCUUUAAACCAUUAAGCAUCUCUCCGACUGCAGGAACUGUUUGAAACCUUUGCAGUGGCCAAGGUAGAUUAUCCAAUUGUUUGUUUGUACGUCAGGCUUUAUUGAACUAUGCCCUGGAAAGGGUGACAUCUGCUGCGUAUAAAUGACAUACUGAUUUUGUUUUUUUCCGUAAGUAUUUUAACGUCUAGUUCUAUGGUCCACGCUGGCCUUGAACUUGCUCUUUCUGCCUCACCUUCCUGAGUGCUAGGGUGCUAGGAUUACAGUGUGUACCAGCAGCUGGUGCCAUUAUUUAUAACAAUCAAAGAGUGCUAGCUUAGCUUGCAGACAUUCCCCAGUCCUACAAAGAUAAAAUAGAGCCACCAAUGGCUCAGUGGGUAAAAGCCUGAGCUUGGUGAUCUAAAGUCCAUUUCCCAUAACCCAAUGGGAGAAGGAGAGGACGGGGUUCCCGGGUCGUCCUCUGAUAUUGAAACAUGAGCCGUGGCAACACACACACACACACUAAGUAAAAUAUAAUUAAAAAUUUAAAAGUUAUAGUAACAGCCGGGCGUGGUGGCACACACCUUUAAUCCCAGCACUUGGGAGGCAGAGGCAGGUGGAUUUCUGAGUUUGAGGCCAGCCUGGUCUACAGAGUGAGUUCCAGGACAGGCAGGGCUACACAGAGAAACCCUGUCUCGAAGGAAGAAAAUAAAAAGUUAUAGUAAAAAAAAAAGACAAACAUCAAACUAUCCAUCAGUUGGUCAAUUGGUUAAAGAAAAUAUUUUAUAACCAUAAGAAGAAAUCACAACAAUCUCGAUAUGUUGACGUUGGCUUUAUCUCUAGAAGGAGCCUUUUAAAAACCUGGGUAUAGUAGCACACGCCUUUAAUCCCAGCAUUGGGAGGCAGAGGCAGAGGCAGGCAGAUCUCUGAGUUUGAGGCCAGCCUGGUCUACAGAGUGAGUUCCAAGACAGCCAGGGCUGCACAGAGAAACCCUGUCCUGGAGGGGUGGGGGUUCGGGGGGGACUUACUUGAAAUCCAUAUGGUGGCAUUUGGCAGGAGGACCAAGUUCAAGGUCAUCCUUGGCUACAUAGUGAGUUUGAGGCCAGCUGAGACCCUGUCUCAAAACAAACCAAACAAAACCGAAACGGCGUGGGACAGUGUGUCUAGGGGGAGAAUAAAAUAUACAACCUCAAAUAUAUUCCUCUGGAUAUUCAGAGAAACCAUGCUUAGCAGUCAUAGAAAGAUUUCUGAAAAACUAACCUUUUAUAAGAGAAAUUCGUACCUGUUAUGCAUCAGUAGCCAGUGCAGGUACAGGCUUGCCCCUCUUUCUUCCCAGGGAAGAGGACACUCGAUCUAGACAGAUGACCACAGGUGACUGACUGUCCCUGGGAGAGUUCAUCUACCUGUAUAGCAGCCACUGUUUAAUGUCACCUCCAGCCCCUAACCUUCUGUACUGGCUAGUUUUGUGUCAACUUGACAUAGCUGGAGCUAUCACAGAGAAAGGAGCUUCAGGUGAGGAAAUGCCUCCAUGAGAUCCAACUGUAAGGCAUUUUCUCAAUUAGUGAUCAAGGGACAAAGGCCCCUUGUGGGUGGGACCAUCUCUGGUCUGGUAGUCUUGGUUCUAUAAGAGAGCAGGCUGAGCAACCCAGGGGAAGCAAGCCAGUAAAGAACAUCCUUCCAUGGCCUCUGCAUCAGCUCCUGCUUUCUGACCUGUUUGAGUUCCAGUCCUGACUUCCUUGGUGAUGAACAGCAGUAUGGAAGUGUAAGCCAAAUAAACCCUUUCCUCCCCAAUUUGCUUCUUGGUCAUGAUGUUUGUGCAGGAAUAGAAACCCUAACUAUGGAGCUGGUGAGAUGGCUCACUGGUUAAGAGUGCCGACUGCUCUUCCGAAGGUCCUGAGUUCAAAUCCCAGCAACCACAUGGUGGCUCACAACCAUCCGUAACAAAAUCUGAUGCCCUCUUCUGGAGUGUCUGAAGACAGCUACAGUGUGCUUACAUAUAAUAAAUAAAUAAAUAAAUAAACAAACAAACAAAUAAAUAAAUAAAUAAAUCUUUUUUUAAAAAAAAGAAAGAAAGAAAAAGAAACCCUAACUAAGACACACCUUCCAUAGAUUACUUCCUCCCUUUGUCUCAGAAACCCCUGUACCCGUAAGCUCCGUGUGAAGACUCCUCUCUGAGUUUAAUAACAUCUCUGCUUACAUAUAUUAGCUAUUUGGAAUUGUGUGUGUGUGUGUGUGUGUGUGUGUGUGUGUGUGUGUGUGGUGCCUAGGUAUCUAAACCUAGGUCCUUGAGCUCGCCAAGUAAACUCUACCACUACACCUCCGGUCCACAAAGCAUCUUUUCAAAGAAGCCACCGCAUGCACGUGAAGGUCCGAGGACAAUCUGUGGGAGGGAGUUGGUUCUCUCCUUUCCCCAGGAGGGUUCCAAGGAUUGAACUCUGAUGGCCAGGCUACUUGACUGGUCAGGACUGGCAGCAAGCACCUUUGCUGAGGCAUACUGUGUGAGCGUUUUCAAGUAAAACUUUGGAAGAGGAGAUCACAGCCCCAUCCCGCCACUUAAUCUGGGUGAGACCAGACCCCGGGGAAACAAACAUGGAGGCACUCUUUCAUCUUCAAAGUUCUCUCAACAUCUUAAAGAUAGAGCUUCACUGUAUCCUUGAGUGGUACUCCCGCUAAUGGCUGCAUCUCCACAAGGAGAAAUUAAAUAGCAGAGUAUAAUAAUGAUAGCCCCAUAGGUCUUGGACCAUGCUUUUUAAAAUGCUCCCAGCACUUUCUCACCUACUUAUCUUAGCCUAAAGGGACUGUAAUUACUUCCUCUUCACAGGUGGGAAAAUGAGUGUUGCCAAAGAUAAGUCUAUCUCCCCAUCACAGCCAAGCAAGCUAAUGCUGACACUCAAGUCACAAACAGACUAAGGUGAAGGUGUAAGUCUGGAGGUCUUUAUAGGUGGUGCUCUUCAGAAAGACCACCUGCAAACCUUCCAUUUUAUUCAUAAUGAACAGUCUAGGAGGAGUAAAAACCUCUUAGUAUUUGUUUCCCAUCAUCCUCUCUUUUCAUAAAAUGAGAGGUGUCUCCUCCCCUUUUCUUGAAAGGCCAGCUUGAGUCUACAAAGUAAUUACGGGGAGCACAGUGCUUACUCAAGCCGUGCGUGCAGUCUUGGUCUCCUAUAGAGCUUUGAGCUAUUAGGUUAACGCUCGUGAUAUAUCAGUCACAGACUUACGGGUACAGAGCAAGCUGAUGUCUCAAGGAUAUUCUUUUUAAGAAAAAGGGCUAUAGGUUGUAACCAGAAUACACAAAUGUUUUCAUGCCUGCUCCCUUUGCUGUGGGAGACCUUCACUGUAGGACUGUUGUUUGUAAUAUUUACAAAUAAGAUCUUGUAGAGGGAGAUCUUUGAAUACAUAGAAUAAUAAGUUUUGUUGUUUGUUUUGUUUUGUUUUGUUUUUUCUGAGUCCCUCUGAGACAAACCACGCUGUAAGACUCUGACACCAGACCAGCUUCUGAAAGAGAUUUACAGCAACUGAGUCACUUGGAAGGGACACUCCAACCGGUUGAGCCACCUUCAGGGUGUGCAGCGUGCCCCAGGUUGCCAGCUUUGAUGAGCUGUCACCUGUGCUGGGAUGGGCUUAGGUGGUGCAGCUGUCACUGAGUGAUUUCUGCUCCUAUAAGGAUCCCCAAUAAAACUCUUUGGUUCACCAAGUUGGACUUUGGUGUUAUUUGUACUUAGACCUGUCAUGGGUUCCCUCACUGGGGCGUGUUGCAUCUCUCCAAGAAAAGUUCUGACACAAAACAAAGUUCAAGGCUACCUUGGUCGGGAGAACCCGUUUCCUCAAAACCAAAACCAAAACAAACAAAACAAAAAGAAAAACAUGACCAGAAAACCCACCGGUUCACUUUCCUACCCUGAUACUCAGCACAGUAAAAACCCAA